ACCACGCUACAACCGCUCAGAUCUGGGUUAAGUGUUCAUUUUCCGAGCCCCCUGUGAUGGCGAGUCUUAGUAUAUGA
rfam:Listeria aquatica FSL S10-1188 c11, whole genome shotgun sequence.